rnacentral:rRNA from 1 species
UACGAAGGGGGCUAGCGUUGUUCGGAAUUACUGGGCGUAAAGCGUGCGCAGGCGGUUUGCUAAGACAGAUGUGAAAUCCCCGGGCUUAACCUGGGAACUGCGUUUGUAACUGGCAAGCUAGAGUGUGGCAGAGGGGGGUGGAAUUCCAAGUGUAGCAGUGAAAUGCGUAGAUAUUUGGAGGAACACCGAUGGCGAAGGCAGCCCCCUGGGCUAACACUGACGCUCAUGCACGAAAGCGUGGGGAGCAAACAGA